GACGAACGCUGGCGGCGUGCUUAACACAUGCAAGUCGAACGGAAAGGCCCUGCUUUUGUGGGGUGCUCGAGUGGCGAACGGGGGAGUAACACGUGAGUAACGUGCCCUUGACUUUGGGAUAACUUCAGGAAACUGGGGCUAAUACCGUAUAGGAGCUCCUGCUGCAUGGGGGGGGUUGGAAAGUCUCGGCGGUUGGGGCUGGACUCGCGGCUUAUCAGCUUGUUGGUGGGGUAGUGGCUUACCAAGGCGUUGACGGGUAGCCGGCCUGAGAGGGUGACCGGCCACAUUGGGACUGAGAUACGGCCCAGGCUCCUACGGGAGGCAGCGGUGGGGAAUCUUGCGCAAUGGGCGCACGCCUGAUGCAGCGACGCCGCGGUCGGGAUGACGGCCUUCGGGUUGUAAACCGCUUUCGCCUGUGACGCAGCGUGAGUGACGGUAAUGGGUAAAGAAGCACCGGCUAACUACGUG
rnacentral:rRNA from 1 species